rnacentral:rRNA from 1 species
GCGCGAUUGGAGCGGCCGAUGUCCGAUUAGCUAGUUGGCGGGGUAAAGGCCCACCAAGGCGACGAUCGGUAGCUGGUCUGAGAGGAUGAUCAGCCACACUGGGACUGAGACACGGCCCAG